rnacentral:tRNA from 4 species
GGGGAUAUAGCUCAGUUGGGAGAGCGCGUCAAUCGCACUGACGAGGUCAGGGGUUCGAGUCCCCUUAUCUCCA